UCCAGACUCCUACGGGAGGCAGCAGUGGGGAAUAUUGCACAAUGGGGGAAACCCUGAUGCAGCGACGCCGCGUGAGUGAAGAAGUAAUUCGUUAUGUAAAGCCCUAUCAGCAGGAAAGAAAAUGACGGUACCUGACUAAGAAGCCCCGGCUAACUACGUGCCAGCAGCCGCGGUAAUACGUAGGGGGCAAGCGUUAUCCGGAUUUACUGGGUGUAAAGGGAGCGUAGACGGCAGUGCAAGUCCGGAGUGAAAGCCCGGGGCUCAACCCUGGGACUGCUCUGGAAACUGUAAAGCUGGAGUGCGGGAGGGGCAGGCGGAAUUCCUGGUGUAGCGGUGAAAUGCGUAGAUAUCAGGAGGAACACCGGCGGCGAAGGCGGCCUGCUGGACCGUAACUGACGUUGAGGCUCGAAAGCGUGGGGAGCAAACAGGAUUAGAUACCCCAGUAA
rnacentral:rRNA from 1 species